rnacentral:lncRNA from 1 species
CUCAAGAUGGCUGUGCCUGUCAGCUGCAUGGAGCUUCGUUCAAGUAUUUUCUGAGCCUGAUGGAUUUACAGUGAUCUUCAGUGGUCUGGGGAAUAACGCUGGUGGAACCAUGCACUGGAAUGACACACGCCCGGCACAUUUCAGGAUACUAAAAGUGGUUUUAAGGGAGGCUGUGGCUGAAUGCCUCAUGGAUUCUUACAGCUUGGAUGUCCAUGGGGGACGAAGGACUGCAGCUGGCUGAGAGGGUUGAGAUCUCUGUUUACUUAGAUCUCUGCCAACUUCCUUUGGGUCUCCCUAUGGAAUGUAAGACCCCGACUCUUCCUGGUGAAGCAUCUGAUGCACGUUCCAUCCGGCGCUCAGCUGGGCUUGAGAAUCCUGUUACACCUGGGAUUUAGGCACUUUCAAUCUGAAAAAAUACAUAUCCUUUCAGCACUCUGGACGGACUUGAGAACUGUCCUUACGUGACCUAAAGCUGGAGUAUUUUGAGAUUGGAGAAUUAAGGCCAACAGAGAUUUUGAGAAACACAUUGAAGGAUCUGUUAACACUUGAUAUACCCAAUAAAAGCAGUGGUUGUGCCAGUGCUGAUCUGUCUUGAUGUGAAUGUGAACAAUGGGAACCUGAGCUGAGCAGUUAAUGCUAGGGUGACAGAAACUGGACCUCUCCCAAGACAUGUGACAGAGUAAUACAGCAGCCAACUUCUUCGCCAAAUUAAAGUUUUACAAGAUUUAACCUGUCAUCAAGACCUGGGAUUUUGGUGAAGGACAGAAUAACGGGCUCCCAGAUUCACAAGCCCCACCAAGAGGAUCACCCCAGGAACGCUUGGAGGCUGAGGAGUUCACUGAGGCUACUGCAUCUUGAGACUCAGGAUGAAGACCCAGCUUGGGGCUGUCAAAGGUUUUUUGCAUGUCUGACACCCAUGACUCCACCUGGACCUUAUGGCUCCACCCAGAAGCAAUUCAGCCCAACAGGAGGACAGCUUCAACCCAUUACGAUUUCAUCUCUGCCCCAACCACUCAGCAGCAAGCACCUGUUACCUGUCCACCCCCACCCCUUCCCCCAAACUGCCUUUGAAAAAUCCCUAACCUAUGAGCUUUGAAUAAGAUGAGUACGAACUUCAUCGCCCACGUGGCGUGGCCGGCCUCGUGUCUAUUAAAUUCUUUUUCUACUA